UCCAGGACCUCCCAGUAGGCAACAUUUACACUGCUCCUUCCUGCUACCUGUAGACACAGUUGAGCUUCAAGAACAUGCUCCUAUGUUCAUUUAAGUUCGUGGAAAAACUCCCAUUGACUUCAUUGGAAUCUGGUAUACAAUGAGGUGUUCCAGCCUCCCACUGGAUCUGAAUGGGCUAAGGAGAGAUGACUGCUGGUUUACCCUGGAAGGAGUGGGAUUCUACCUGAUGUGGCCACAGGGCAGAAUUAUAAGAAGCAGACUAUUGCAGAAUCAGGAUCACCAGCAGAGGGGG